ACGCGACCCCAGGUCAGGCGGGGCUACCCGCUGAGUUUAAGCAUAUCAAUAAGCG
rnacentral:rRNA from 4 species